rnacentral:RNase_P_RNA from 1 species
CGAGUCGGCCGGGCGGUCGCGUCACCGGGGCGACCCGGUGCCGAGGAAGGUCCGGACUCCACAGGGCAGGGUGGUGGCCAACAGCCACCCGGGGUGACCCGCGGGACAGUGCCACAGAGAGCAGACCGCCUCUCGCCCUCCGGGGCGAGCGGUAAGGGUGAAACGGUGGUGUAAGAGACCACCAGCGCCCGGGGUGACCCGGGCGGCUCGGCAAACCCCACCUGGAGCAAGGCCGAACAGGGAGCGUCCGAGGGCUGCCCGCCCGAGCUCCCGGGUAGGCCGCUGGAGGCUGUCGGCAACGGCAGCCCGAGAUGGAUGACCGCCGGCCGCCGCGCGAGCGGCGGUGCACAGGAUCCGGCCUACAGGCCGGCUCGUCCC